AUUGAACGCUGGCGGCAUGCCUUACACAUGCAAGUCGAACGGCAGCACGGGAGCAAUCCUGGUGGCGAGUGGCGAACGGGUGAGUAAUAUAUCGGAACGUGCCCAGUCGUGGGGGAUAACGUAGCGAAAGCUACGCUAAGACCGCAUACGAUCUAGGGAUGAAAGCGGGGGAUCGCACGACCUCGCGCGAUUGGAGCGGCCGAUAUCAGAUUAGGUAGUUGGUGAGGUAACGGCUCACCAAGCCGACGACCUGUAGCUGGUCUGAGAGGACGACCAGCCACACUGGGACUGAGACACGGCCCAGACUCCUACGGGAGGCAGCAGUGGGGAAUUUUGGACAAUGGGCGCAAGCCUGAUCCAGCAAUGCCGCGUGCAGGAUGAAGGCCUUCGGGUUGUAAACUGCUUUUGUACGGAACGGAACGGUGAGCUCUAAUACAGUUUGCUAAUGACGGUACCGUAAGAAUAAGCACCGGCUAACUACGUGCCAGCAGCCGCCGCCG
rnacentral:rRNA from 1 species